rnacentral:lncRNA from 1 species
GACAUUUUCUGUUUGGACAUACGGUCUGUUCGAUUUUUUCAGUGAUUUAACACAAAAUUUUGACCUUGUAUCGACAGACCAAAAAACAAAAACAAAAAAGAGUGACCAUGUUUGGAACCAUGUUUGUGUUAUUGGGUUAAAUUCCUAAUUCACUCUUUGUUGAUUUCAAAACUUUUAGAAAGCCAUUUAAUUUUUGCUAAACCAGUAUGCAGACUGCUAACUUUAACAAAUUUUACAGUACAAUAUUUUCUGUACAACUUUUUACAUAUUUCAAUGCGAAAACAUUGAGUUAUGCAAAUAAGAUCUAUCCAGUUGAAACCGUUGCCUUUAGAGGUCAGGAGAGUAACUAACAUAAGUCGCCUAUUUUAAAGGUAAUAUUAUUGUAAUAUUAAUGUGGUAUAACUUACCAAUAUUAAAGGUAAUAUUAAUGUGCUAUAUCUUACUUAUUCACAUGCGUAUUGUAAACAAAUACUUAAUAUUUUCUUACUUGUUUCCUGUGCACACCUUUAGCUAUCUUGGAGUACCACUCUGAGAUGAAACCCUGACUGGAGAUUGCGACAAAUACUACAAGUUUGUGCUAGCUGAAGAGGAUGGCCUGCUGCUCAUUUUUGGCUUUGGUGCCUUGGCCAGGAUCUCCGGCAUCCAUUUUAUUCCUCCUAGUUUAAGAAUUUCCGUAAUAUUUUAAAAUGUCCUGCAUAAUGUCGAGAAUUUUCUCCAUAUCAACACAAAGCUCUUUGAAAAAUUUGCUAGCAUCCUUGUUUUUGACAACACAAGCCAUGUACUAUGUAUAGGGUAAUUUGGUAUAAUGGAGGAUGCAGGAGACAUAUUCAGACAUAUCGAGGUGGUAAAGGAUUUAUAGACAAUAGUUCAUCAUUUCAAGAAUAAAUAAUUCACAUUCGUAAAUCUGAAAUAAUAACACUGGUAUUA